rnacentral:rRNA from 1 species
GACGAACGCUGGCGGCGUGCUUAACACAUGCAAGUCGAACGGAAAGGCCCUGCUUUUGUGGGGUGCUCGAGUGGCGAACGGGUGAGUAACACGUGAGUAACCUGCCCUUGACUUUGGGAUAACUUCAGGAAACUGGGGCUAAUACCGGAUAGGAGCUCCUGCUGCAUGGUGGGGGUUGGAAAGUUUCGGCGGUUGGGGAUGGACUCGCGGCUUAUCAGCUUGUUGGUGGGGUAGUGGCUUACCAAGGCUUUGACGGGUAGCCGGCCUGAGAGGGUGGCCGGCCACAUUGGGACUAAGGUACGGACCAGACUCCUACGGGAGACAGCAGGCGGGAGUAUUGCACAGUGGGCGGAAGCCUGAUGCAGCAACGCCGCGUGCGGGAUGACGGCCUUCGGGUUGUAAACCGCUUUCGCCUGUGACGAAGCGUGAGUGACGGUAAUGAGUAAAGAAGCACCGGCUAACUACGUG